rnacentral:lncRNA from 1 species
CUCUCUCUUUCCACUCUUCCAUCUAACCUUUCCCCUUUCUCUGUGUUCCCACUACCCCAUGAUUCAUCAUCCUUUUUCAUUUCAUUCUUCUACAUUUUCUCAUUCAAGCCAUCAAUUUUCAAACUUUAAGAGUCAUUAAUAGAUUAGGAUAGGAUAGCCAACCAUAGUAUAUGAAAAAGGAGAUAGACAAGGACAACCCCAAAUCACCAAUAUCUAGCAUCACACUUAUGUUCCUUUAGUUAAUCACCGAAUCACCAUCUUUCAAUUCUUCUUGAACUAGAAAACUUAUUCUAACUACAAAUCAAACCCCAAUUUCGUUUUAGUUCUUGUGGCCUACAUUGAGAGCUUGUAUGCCAUGCUUAUGAGUUGAUUUGGUAGCUAGAAAUUUGAUGGAAGCUAGAAGAAUGUUAAUACUUGAAGAUUGAAGCAAAAUAAGAGAUUUAGAAGCUAGUGUCGAUGCACUUAGAAGGCUAUGAGAAGGGAACUGUUGCUGUCUUUUAUGUACAAUAAGGAGUUGUUGCAGCGCAAUUGAGUUGAUUCAUCAUAACUGUGAGUUGAUAACGAUCAUUAUCGCUUAUUUUAAUUACAAUUAUUAUUAUUGGUAUUUUGAUUAAUUUCUAUGUCAAAGUAUUUACUAAAAUGGGGAAACACGACCUUUUAAUAUCUUACUCAUCAUCGUUAUAUAAUUUCAAAGCCACCAAAUUUAAUUAUACUCUAUUGUUGACUUGUGAUUUAUAAAGUAGAGGAAUUGAAAUGGAGAAUUUGAUUGUGUGAUGUUUUUAGUUGAAGUUUUGCUAUGUAGUGGAACGUGGUUUUGAAGUGUUUGUUUUUGAAUUGACGUGCUCUGAUUGGAUUGGUGUUCGGAUUUGAAUUUGCUUAUGAUCUAUAAAGUAUUAGAUUUUCAAUUAAGUUUUGAUCGUACUUAUUUUGGAUAUAAGUUUCGAUAUUUUGUGAAAUAUGGUUUUGGAGACAUUUUGAGAAUUUUGUUUUGAGAUUCGUGAUUAUAAUGACGACGACCUAGGUGCACCUAGUAUGUGAUUUCAAUUAGGUAGAGUUACCCCGUUAGAUGGAGCCGCCCCUAUGGAAAGGCCGCCAUUAGGAGGAGAGGGCUAUCAAUGAGAGGUAAACUGCUUAAUUGAAAAUGUUUUACACUUUGUUUUGAGUCGAGAGAAAAGAGCUAUCCGUUAAAUGGAGCCGCCCCUAUGGGAAGGCCACCAUUAGGAGGAGAGGGCUAUCAACGAGAUGGAGCUAGUUCUCGAUUCACCCAUUUUGAUUAUUUUCAUUAAAUUGAGUUUACUAUACUUUAAAAACAUUUUGUUUUGAGUCGAGAGAAAAGAGCUAUCCGUUAGAUGAAGCUACCACUAAGGGAAAGGCCACUCUUAGUAGGAAAGAGCUAUCAACGAGAUGGAGCUAGUUCUCGAUUCACCCAUUUCGAUUACUUUCACUAAAUGGAGUUUUCUAUACUUGCUUUAAAGGAUUUUAUUGUUAUGAUUUUCAUCUACACUUUCUUUAAACGAUUUUAUGGUGAUUUUCAGCUGUACUUUCUUUAAGGAUUUUAAUUUUUUUGUUCACCUCUUAAAACAUUUGAUUUUGAAAUAUUCUUAAUUAUGAUAAUGAUAUUCACAUACAAUUAUGCAAAGUAAUUGCAAGUACAAAUAUUCAGGUUGCUUCCAAAUAUUAGAUAGGUGAUGACUUGUAGUAAGGUUAUACCCGAGGGAUAAACUCACAACUUAAAAGGUGUAAUAAAACUUUCCCUAAUGAUUUAGUUCAGUUUAUGAUAGUUUGGUUAAACAAGCUAAGAGCAACAUAUUUGUUAUUUCUUAUUUGAUGGUGGAUUAAUUAUAGUCUACACGGUUACAAGUUUUGUAAAUCGAUAUUAGAUUUGAGAAAAAUAACUAUUCGUGCCAUUGUGUGUUUCCCUUCUAGUUGGUAGUGGUUGUUGUCUUCUCACUAAGUCUUUGUGACUUACCACUUCAUCUUACAUUUUUUUUCAGAUUUACAAUCAGGUGAAUUUAUGUUUCUAGAAGAUUACCGAUUCAGCAGAGUCCCUCUUUUGGUAGGCCUCUACUCCUUGAUGAACGACUCUUUUGUAUUAUAUCUUGAGUCGUUGGUGUAUCUGCAGCUAUUUGAGUCUAGGAAUACUAUUAUUUUGGGAUAUACAAACUUUGGAUAUGUAGUCUCUCAAAUUCUGCUUGAUGGCAUAUGUUUGUAAGCAAGGUUUUUAGUUUGAAAAUGUUGAAGAUAGAAAUAUACUUUGUCAAAUUGUAGUAAGUUUUGGUUUCAGAGUGUACUAUUUAUUCACAAGAUAUUUGUCAAGUGUGGUUU